rnacentral:rRNA from 1 species
UGAGGAAUAUUGGUCAAUGGACGGAAGUCUGAACCAGCCAUGCCGCGUGCAGGAUGACGGCUCUAUGAGUUGUAAACUGCUUUUGUAUUAGGGUAAACCACCCCUACGUGUAGGGGCUUGAAAGUAUAAUACGAAUAAGGAUCGGCUAACUCCGUGCC